ACUCCUCCACUGUGGCCAUUUUAAAAUGUCUGCUUACCACAGUCUGCUUUUUGUGUGGAGGGGCAGUGUCUGGCGUGUGACAGAAACCCUGAAACACGCCACACGCACGCACGCCUGUAUUGGGGCAAACUUUGAUUUGGGCAUGAAAGGGUUAUUUGGGCACGAAAGGGUUAUCGCCUGCUUUCCAUGGCGUUAAGCUUUGCGCUGGGGACUGCCAUCAGUGACACAGAGACAGGCUGCAGAGCAGCAGCUGCUCUGGGAAGGAGGGCCUAGAGCAGCAGGAAGCCUGUGGCAGUCCCAGCAGGAGGCCUGGAUUCCCCACCAGCUGCUGAACCUGGGAGCAAACAUCCGUGUCCCGUGGGAUGGGGAAUGGCUGGCGAGGGCUCUGCUCAGGCUCCAGUCACGUUUGACGACGUCGCUGUCUAUUUCUCCGCGGCGGAGUGGGAGGAGCUCGCGGAAUGGCAGAAGGAGCUGUACAAGGACGUGAUGAGGGACAACUACGAGGCUGUGAUCUC